GUUUGGGUGUGUUUCCGACGUUCCUCACCAGCUCUCUGGUAAAGUUUUUUUGUUUUUUCAAAAUCUAGACCUAGGGUUUGAAACCUAGGGUUUCUCUGUGUUUGAAGGCCGAUCUUCUCCGGUUGCGAAGAAGGAGGGUAACUCUGUGUCCUUCUCCUCGAUUUAUGUGUACUUAUUUGACUUUGUAAUUGCGAGUAUCUGGUGGUAUCUGUGAUUACUUGACCUAAUUGUUGUUUGUCUGUUGGUUAUUGUUGGUUACUGUGUUUGUACACUUGUUCUGGUAGUAUCCUGUUUGUUGACAAGUUAUUUGUCUAAGCCGGUUCAUUAUGGCUUCUAGCACAACAUUGUUGGUUACUGUGUUUGUGCACUUGUUCUGGUAGUAUCCUGUUUGUUGACAAGUUAUUUGUUUAAGCCGGUUCACUAUGGCUUCUAGCACAAGUACUGGUGCUUCUACUACUGUGGAUUCCUCUAGUCCACUUUUUAUGUAUUCAUCUGAUCUCCCUGGGGUACCACUUGUUCCCAUCCCAUUCUCGGGUACUGGUUAUG
rnacentral:lncRNA from 1 species